AGGAGGCUCAGGAAAACGUCGCGGCCGAGCAAUUCGCGCACCCUGAGCACGAAGAUGAUCGGACCGGAGGUCGCAAGUGCGUACACCAGCACGUUGAGCGAUGGCAGCA
rnacentral:sRNA from 1 species